rnacentral:rRNA from 1 species
UACGUAGGGUGCGAGCGUUGUUCGGAAUUACUGGGCGUAAAGAGUGUGUAGGUGGUGUUCCAAGUUUGUCGUGAAAUCUCCCGGCUUAACUGGGAGGGUGCGGCGAAAACUGGAAUGCUUGAGGGUGGGAGAGGAAAGCGGAAUUCCUGGUGUAGCGGUGAAAUGCGUAGAUAUCAGGAGGAACACCCGUGGUGUAGACAGCUUUCUGGACCACUUCUGACACUGAGACACGAAAGCGUGGGUAGCAAACAGG